rnacentral:rRNA from 1 species
UGCAAGUCGAGCGGUAAGGCUCCUUCGGGAGUACACGAGCGGCGAACGGGUGAGUAACACGUGAGCAAUCUGCCCUCCACGCUGGGAUAACCUUCGGAAACGAGGACUAAUACCGGAUACGACCACCUCAGACAUCUGAUGGUGGUGGAAAGCUCCGGCGGUGGAGGAUGAGCUCGCGGCCUAUCAGCUUGUUGGUGAGGUAACGGCUCACCAAGGCUUCGACGGGUAGCCGGCCUGAGAGGGUGACCGGCCACACUGGGACUGAGACACGGCCCAGACUCCUACGGGAGGCAGCAGUGGGGAAUAUUGGACAAUGGGCGAAAGCCUGAUCCAGCAACGCCGCGUGAGGGAUGACGGCCUUCGGGUUGUAAACCUCUUUCAGUAGGGACGAAGCGCAAGUGACGGUACCUGCAGAAGAAGCACCGGCCAACUACGUGCCAGCAGCCGCGGUAAUACGUAGGGUGCGAGCGUUGUCCGGAAUUAUUGGGCGUAAAGGGCUCGUAGGCGGUUUGUCACGUCGGGAGUGAAAACUCAGGGCUUAACCCUGAGCCUGCUUUCGAUACGGGCAGACUAGAGGUAUGCAGGGGAGAACGGAAUUCCUGGUGUAGCGGUGAAAUGCGCAGAUAUCAGGAGGAACACCGGUGGCGAA